rnacentral:sRNA from 2 species
UACAUACAAACCUAAUCAUUCACCUAUCCCCUAUCCUCAAUGCCCACUGUUUUUCGCUCCCCCCUUUCUUAACCACCCAAUGCAUCCACUUUACACAAUAUGCUGGUCGAAAUAUCCCCUUCUCGACCAAUGAGCUUCCAGCAGAUAGGCGUUCUCUAAUGUGUACUUCUUUCAUUUCUCUCUCUAGUGCGAACCCCUGACAACCACCUCCGUCUCCUCGUCCUCCUUCCCACCGCUACCCCACGACCUACGCCCGCACUUCCUCCUCCUCCGCCUCCUCUGCCUCCUCCUACUCCCGCUACUGCUGCUGCUACUGCUUGCUGCUUCUGAUGCUGGAGACGGUGUAGUGCGUCGCAGUGAGUGCCUAACGAAGCAAGAGCCGAAAUAAUGGAUCAAGUAGGCAAACACGGACAUGAAUGCGAGGAGUAGAAAGAUGAUUAGGACUAUGACAAUGUCCUUUUGCAUUGGAGGCAGUGGUGGUGGUGGUGGUUGAUGUUAUUGUUCUUGAAGUUACUUGAUCCGAUUUUGAAGACGCUGCGUAUCUGGUGAUUUAGCAUUCAUUCUUUUCUUAUAGGUCUUUUAAUAUUUCUUAUUUUUUAUUUUAUUUUAUUUUAUUUUAUUUUAUUUAUUUAUUUAUUUAAUUUUUUUUUUCGUUAACUUACUCCUUGUUUCACAAUACUCUCCCUUCUUGUCUGCGGUUUGUGUCUCUUAUGAAUUUAUUAAUCCCUUUUCCGCCCCGUUUUUAAUAGGAUGGAUGGUCUUUCGCUUUCUUAUACCUGCGAAGAAGAGGUUGAAUACCCCGUAACGACUGCUUGUGUGGUU